UACGUAGGUGGCAAGCGUUGUCCGGAAUUAUUGGGCGUAAAGCGCGCGCAGGUGGUUUCUUAAGUCUGAUGUGAAAGCCCACGGCUCAACCGUGGAGGGUCAUUGGAAACUGGGGAACUUGAGUGCAGAAGAGGAAAGUGGAAUUCCAAGUGUAGCGGUGAAAUGCGUAGAGAUUUGGAGGAACACCAGUGGCGAAGGCGACUUUCUGGUCUGUAACUGACACUGAGGCGCGAAAGCGUGGGAAGCGAACAGG
rnacentral:rRNA from 1 species